rnacentral:tRNA from 2 species
CGGGGCAUAGCUCAGUUUGGUAGAGUGCGUGGUUUGGGACCACGAUGCCGCAGGUUCGAGUCCUGUUGCCCCGACCA